UGGCUUCACACUGAGCCAGGAGAGGUUUGGGUGGGAUGUGAGGGAGGAAUUUUUGGCUGUGAGGGUGGUGGAGCACAUGGAAGUUGUGGCUCAGGGUCGGCCUUGGAGCCACCGGGCCCAGAGGAAGAAAUGGUGGAACAAAAUGGUCUCGAGUGUCCCUUCCCAGCCAAACCAUGCUGUGGUUUUGUGAUUUAAAAAAGACCUAAAAAUCAUCAGUUUCGUGCUUCAGUCAGCAUUUAUUAUGAUUAUACCCAAUACCUGGUAUUUGUCACCAAUGUGCUGCUUGAAUAAGAGCCCCUGGGUGAAAUAAGUGCCAUGUGCCUUAAUGACCUUCCCACUGCUGCAAUUUUCAGUAAUUUCAGUAUUUUCCAUGCAAACAAACAUUCUUUGUGAGUGUUUAUUUCUUUGAACAAAAAAUAGCCCUUUUCUGCUUGUACACAGACUGCAUUUAAAUUCUGCUUUAUGACAACUCCAUCAUUCAUUAUUUUAGUAGUUCUCAAUUGAAUUUUUGCUGGGACCACAGAUGGAAAAUGCUUCUUUAAAAUUUCCAUUUAUGUCACUGCAGGGAGGGAAAGCACAGCGAACCAGAGAGUUGAUCUUCUACUACUGAGGGUUUUGGGUUUGUUUGUGUAAGACUGGAAAUGAAUUAGGAGGCCAGGAAAAACUCCUGUAGAAGUGUUUGCUGGUUUUGAUAUUCAAUAACCUAAACACAAACAUUCACACACAAAUCUGGAAGCCUGAACUACAGAAAUGGAGCAGCAGCUCUGGUAAACUAAAUUCUGGAAUCCAAAUAUUUAUUCCAGUAGUUUAAAUUUGUUUGAAAGUGCCAGUAAGUCAGUUGCACUUCUGAAGCUUUGUGUACAAUAAAGCUGGUGUGAUAUUCAGUGUUUUAUCUGUUCCAUAAUUCCAGCUCAUCCCUGCUGGGUUUAAAUAGCUCAGUGCUGUGCCAGGGGUUUGAAAGAUUGUGCAGAGAGAAUUCUCCUCAGAUCAGUUCCUAUCUCAACAACAGCAAGUGAAUGUUCAGGGGUGAACAUUCACUUUUAUACCAAGAACAUGCAAAUAUGGGAGGCAGAAGUCUUGUAAUAAUUUGGCCCCAUGAGAAGAGAAAAGAGCUUCAAAACAUAGUUCCAAUAUAAAUGGUUAUUUGAAUGUUUUGAAGUUUAAAUGAAACCUGCAAUAAAAAAAAGGUUAACUAAUAAGUCCUAAACUUUAGAGUGCAAAUUUUUCCUAAUCAUAUGUUGGAGAGGGCAGCUGUGAGCACUUUCUUCUGUUUGGUAAUAAGAUAUUUUUUCUAGUAAUUACACUAAAUGUAUUUUUUUUUCCUAGGCAGGUUUGCAUAAUCUCUUUGGAAGAGGCUGAUUAAGCAGACAGCAUUAGCCUUGGACUGGGAAAACUUAAUUCCUUCCUUUCUUUCUCCCCCUUUUUUCAGAGUGCUGCUUAAAAUGGAAUUUAAUGCUAAUAUAUCUGAAAUAGAUUUGCAGUGUGUGCAAAAUACUGAUUUUAUGGAAGAGGAGUUGGAGUCAAGUGAGGAUUUCUUGGUGCUUGCGUGAGGGAUUACAGAGCUGCAUCACGUGUGUUCCUCCUAAGUCUCCUUUAUCUGUCUGCCCCUAAUCUGAUUUUAAGUCUGGACUAGCAGGAAAGGGUGAGGAUGCAGCUUUAGGCCUUGGUUUGGGCAGAGUUCCCACCUUGCUGGGAGACAGUGGCCAAUUAAACCUCUGUGUCUUUAUUUUCACAAUUCCAUCUCCUUUGUUCCAUCCUUGCUCUUCCGUGGUCUAAAUCACCCAAGCUGACUCCAGUUUUAACCUCCUUGGUUUAGGCUGAGUUUACAGCCUCUGUGAAUAGAGAAUCCCACAAUGGGUUGGGUUGGAAAGGACCUUGAAGGUCACCCCCUGUGCCAACCCCUGCCAUGGGCAGGGUCACCUUCCACCAUCCCAGAUUGUCCCUAGCCCUGUCCAGCCUGGCCUUGGGCACUUCCAGGGAUGGGGCAGCCACAGCUUCUCCAGGCAACCUGAUUUUUUUUUUGGGUUUCUGGACUAUUUUCCAUAGUGGUGUUCAGUUCCUUCUCCAGCUUACUCUAGGUUUAUAUUGCAUCACUUAAACCAAAAAUGUUUUUAUUCUAUUUUAUUCUAUUUUUCUACUUUUUUUAUUCCAGCUUUGUGGAAAAUCAGAGGGAGAAGGUUGUUCCUGAAAAACUGGCCUGAAGUUUAGCUCACAGUAGGAACCUGCUGCACGAUUUGGUUCAGCAUCCCAAGAAACUCCACUGGAGGUAACAGUUAAAACACAGAUGCUCUCUGGAUGGGGCCAGCUGCAAUUUCUCUCUUCUUUUUUAUUACCAUUAAAAAAAUAUGGCUUAAUAAUUAAUGUUAAUAUUUAGUUUAUGUGGCAAAUGAUAAGAGGCAUGAAUGGGAAUAAUUUCCAGCCAAGUAAAAAUUCUACUAAAUAGUUUUGUUCUUUUUUAUUAAAAAAGCAGAGUUUAAAAUUUCUUUUUAAAUACAGUAAAACUUUGAUAUUUUCCACUGAAGUAUAUUUGUUGCUUUGGUUUAGUCUGUCAGCAGCUUGUCCUCUAUCUUCUAAUACUUGCAGAAUUUUCAGUUCACAUUUACCAAAACCCAGAACUUCUUUCAAGGGGACUAUGAAUGUUUUAAUAGGCAGAUUUUAUAUUUUGAGUGAUCUGUGCUGGAUGUUGUUGCCAUCAGUGGCUCCAAGAAAUAAGUUAAAUGGUUGUGUGCUGUGAGUUCUGUGUUCAUUUGCAAGCAGCUUUUGUUAAAGAAAAAAAAAUAAAAAGAGAGGGGAAAAAAAGGUCAAGAAUUUGUUUUCCUCUUAUUUCUGGAAGACGAAGAAGAUGAGUGGCUUGAUAAAAUGGUGUUGACAAGUUCAGCUGUUAACCAUAUUCUCUUUAAAUAAUAUUUUACAUUUUUUUUCUAUUUUUUUUUGUUUUGUUUUGUU